rnacentral:misc_RNA from 1 species
GUUUUGAUCAGAAGAGGCACAUGCAACAUUGCAAUAUCUGCAAGUCUGGAAAAACAUGCUACCAAUUUCUGCAGGAGAGAAGUGGCCCAAAUGAUAAUUUCUCCUUCAACAUAUACCUUUCUUAUCUGGUAUAUGCUCCCCUUUAUAUUGCUGGGCCAAUUAUAAGCUUCAAUGCCUAUGUCUCACAGUUAGACAUGCCUCAGAAUAAUUAUGCUGCCCG